rnacentral:rRNA from 1 species
CAGCAGCCACGGUAAAACGUAGGUGGCAAGCGUUGUCCGGAAUCACUGGGCGUAAAGGGUGCGUAGGCGGGUCUUUAAGUCAGGGGUGAAAUCCCGGAGCUCAACUCCAGAACUGCCUUUGAUACUGAAGAUCUUGAGUUCGGGAGAGGUGAGUGGAACUGCGAGUGUAGAGGUGAAAUUCGUAGAUAUUCGCAAGAACACCAGUGGCGAAGGCGGCUCACUGGCCCGAUACUGACGCUGAGGAGCGAAAGCGUGGGGAGCGAACAGGAUUAGAUACCCCCGUAGUCCCUGUCUCUUAUAC